UGCCAGCAGCCGCGGUAAUACGGAGGGUGCGAGCGUUAAUCGGAAUCACUGGGCGUAAAGCGUACGUAGGCGGCCUGUUAAGCCAGGUGUGAAAUCCUGCGGCCCAACCGCAGAACUGCAUCUGGAACUGGCAUGGCUAGAGUUCGGUAGAGGGAAGGGGAAUUCCCGGUGGAGAGGUGAAAUUCGUAGAGAUCGGGAGGAAUACCAGUGGCGAAGGCGCCUUCCUGGACCUGAACUGACGCUGAGGCACGAAAGCGUGGGGAGCGAACAGGAUUAGAUA
rnacentral:rRNA from 1 species